rnacentral:lncRNA from 1 species
CCCAUUUGUGUCACAUCAUAACGUCAUACCCAGCAAGUGAUGCCCUCCUGCCAUGUCCCUGGUAUGAGGGCCUCCUGUGAACAGAGGAGCCACAAGGCUUCAGGCAGCCCCUUCCUGAGGGGAAGGCUGGAGGCACGAGGACGGGGGCGCUGCUAGGCCUUGCUGCAGAGCUCCGGGCAAAUGCCUCCUCUCAGAAGUCUGUCAGAAAAGCUGGUCUUGGGCACUGGCUGAUGCUGUGCUCACUCCCGGGGGCAGCCAGGAGGGACCUGUCUUCAGCUGGAGCCAUGCCCCUCCUGGGGUGAAACGCAAGUGUGGAGGGGCUGAAUUUAAUGUGUAUUGAUCACAGGGAAGGAGAAAAAUUGUAAAGGAGGAUGUCACUGGUACAAGACAACAUUUGGGCACCUGCUGUUCUCCUGUUUGGUCUGUACCAGCCUGAUUCCAUCUCUACCAGUCUCUUCCUCUUCUUGCCAACCAUGCGGAUCUUUGCAGAGGCUGGGUGAGAAGUGAGGCCGGUGAUGCUUUUGUACACUGGGUACAUCCCCAGGGAUGCAGUUUUCCAAUAUAUUCAUCUGUCACCAGAGCUCCACGUGAAGUCCUCUGCUGUUCCUUCAUCUGACCGGCAGUGCGACAGAAAGGCCUGGAGCUGGUCGGGGCCAACCCCAGGCCUGAGUGCUGGGCGCGUGAGCUAUCCCUGCAAGGCUGGCAGAUUGUCGAUAAAUGCAGUAAACAACAGGCUGCUUUCUUUCAGAACAAGUUAUAUGAAGUCGUCAUCCAUUUGGCGAUACAUAUUUGUAUCUAAGCCCAUCCUUUCAAGCUCCUCUCACUUGACUGAUCAUUUCUUGGUAUCCCAGGAGAA